rnacentral:tRNA from 1 species
GGGGCUGUGGGGUAGCCUGGCCAUCCUUCAGCGUUCGGGACGCUGUGACCCCGGUUCGAAUCCGGGCAGCCCCA